AGCCCUCAGCGUACAUGCCAGCUAAUUACAGAUGCAGGAGCAAACCCCUGGCCCAUACAUCAGUUGGGUGUGGUGACUCACACCUGCAAUCCCAGCACUUCAGGAGGCUGAAGAGAGCAGAUCACUUGCGGCCAGGAGUUCGAGACCAGUCUGGGCAACAUAAUGGAGUUUCGCUCUUGUUGCCCAGGCUGGAGUGCAACGGCACGAUCUCAGCUCACCGCAACCUCAGCCUCCCAAGUUCAAGCAAUUCUCCUGCCUCAGCGUCCUGAGUAGCUGGAAUUACAGAUUUUGAGUCUUGCUCUAUGGCCCAGACUGGAGUGCAGUGGCGUGAUCUCAGCUCACUUCAACCUCCACCUCCCGGGUUCGAGAGAGAUUCUCCUGCCUCAUCCUCCCGAGUAGCUGGGAUCACCGGCGCCCACAACCACACCCGGCUAAUUUUUGUACUUUUAGUGGAGACAGGGUUUCACCAUGUUGGCUAGGCUGGUCACAAACUCCCGACCUCAGGUUAUCCAUCUGCCUUGGCCUCCCAAAGUGCUGGGAUUACAGGCGUGAGCCCCCGCACCUGGCCAAGAUCAGCUAG
rnacentral:lncRNA from 10 species